rnacentral:lncRNA from 1 species
UCAAUUCCACUCGGGCCUGGCAUCUCAUCUCUCUCCCUCACCCUUCCUUCUCCACCUCCGGCCGCCGCCAUGGCUAGGCCGGCGUGGUGGUGCGCCUCCGCACCAUCAGCACACCCACCACAAACAUCCACCACUCACCACCAACUUCAUCCACCAGCGCCACCAUCUCAAGCCACCGCCUCACCUCGCGCGCCCGACCAGACAAGGGCGAGCACGGGCGUCUGGUCCUCCGCGUGACCUCUCCCUCUCCGCCGAUCCUCUCUUCCUGAUGCCCCUGCUGCUCCUUCUCUUUGCGCAUCCUUUGCUGAUUCUCUGCUCUGAACCUCAAGUUGCUGCUGCCACUUCUUCUUCUCUGAACCCAAACUCUAAUGUUCGCUGCUCCUCUUUCUUUGCUGGUGCUUCUUCUUCUCAUGCCUCCUGCUGCUUCUCUCCUCAUGUCCCUGCUGCUUUUCUCCUCACAUCCCUGCUGCUGCUCCAUUCCCAAUCUUGCUGCUGUUCUCUCUCUCUCUCUCUCUCUCUCUCUCUCUCUCAAAUUUCUAUAAUCUUCAGAAGUGUUAUAACUAAUACUAUGUAAUGUUCAGUCUUGAUAAUUGUAGUAUCCAGCUGCUUGGCUCAGUUUCGAAUUUAUAAUAUAAAUGCUUAAUUAGUAUGGCCUGAGUAGUUCAUACCUUGUCACUUAGAGAAGUACUUGAUCUGUUAUACUUUGUUUAGUGAAAUAGUAAUCUUCAUAUGUGUGUGGUGUCCUGUGAGAUAUACAUAUGUGUGUGUUUGUGAUGUGAUACAUAUAUUCUGUCCUACAACCUUGUUUCUUCCCUCUGUCAUACUUGUUGUUAUUAUACAUAUUCUUGUCUUGCUGAUUUCCUUUUGUUGUUUAAGUAGUAACACCUGUGCUAGUAUUAUAGUUUCUCAAGUAAUGAAAAUACCAAAAAGAUAUUGAGUAAAAUCUGAAUUUCCCUUUGCUAUUUGUCAUUUUCUUUGUCAAUGAUCUUUGGGAACAACCUUGUUAGUUUAGGUUUUAUUUUCAGUUUUCAUCACCCAAUUCUGUGUCACCUAGCUUUAGCCGAGCGUCGUCGCUGAUCGUCUAGGCCCUAAGGAGAACUUCGACAUCCACAGUUUGGGUGAAAUAUCCCGCUGUAUUUCAAUUGAUCAUUUUGGCGCCGUUGCCGGGGAGUAGCGUCGAGUGACCAUGUUAGGCUAUAGACUAGGUUUUACUUGUUUUUUCUUUUGUGCUAUAUAUGUGUGUGUGUGUGUGAUAUAUCUCUAACCCCUAACCCUUGUUCCAGUUAUUUUCUCUUUCUUUUCUUGGUUAUUCUGCAAGUUAUUGCAUCUUUUCAGAUAUGGCUUACUAUUCAGAUCAUCAUGCUUAUGCGAGCAACACUACAAAUAGCACAGAAAGUAUUCAAGAACUGAUUAGUAAGAUUUCCCAUCGAUUAGAUGAUUUAGCUCGGCAGUGAGAAGUAGUUUUUGAAGAUAGGCCUAGCUCUUAUGAUCCUUAUUCUAGAGGCCAUCCUUAUGUUGCUCCUACAUGCCAUAUUUGUGGAUUUCAGGGCCAUUCACCCGCUGAAUGUCAGUGUGGUUACUCUCACUCUCCCGAUUGUUAUGGCAUGAGCUUCGCCCCACAGCCUAGCUCAUACCAAAACAAUUGCUCAUAUGGGUGGCCUGAAAAUUAGAAUAUGUCAUAUAGGAGCAACAACCCUGAGAUGUCACCAUUUGCUUCUAGUAAUCAUAUGCAGGGAUUUAGGUACAAUGAGGAGAGCAACAACUAUGCGCCUUCUAUUCACCUCCUAAUCAUAUACCUCAACACCAGGAGAUGUUGCCAAUGGAGUUAAAUGGUCCUCCAUUUGGUCAACCAACACCUUCAACACAAGUGCCCACACAAGAUGACUUUGAUGAUAUAGACAAGCUCACAUUGCUUAGUCUCGAGUUCACUUGGAGUGCCGAAGAUGAUCCAAUUAGGCCGGUGAUACUAGAGGAAAUGAAGAAGAUCAUGAGUGGAAAAGAGCUAGUGGAAGAAGUAAGGAAGAUUGAGAAGAACAUUAACGCUGGCAGCACUAUUUCUUCACAGCUUGAGCUGAGUGUUUCUGGGAUAUCUCUUGAUACAUGUGAGGUUCCAACACCUUCAUAAGAGAUACUUCAUAUCCAAGAAGAAAUUCUCGAAGUCAAGGAACAAGAUGGAACAGAGCUUGAAUGCCCAAGUGAUCAAGAUGAAGAUCCGUUGCCUAUCACUCCCGGAGAAGUAAAAGAAGUUGUUGUAGAUGAAGAUGAAGAACCUGAGAUUCAUUUGCCUAUUGUCAUACAAGAGUGUGAUUUGUCAGGUUCAUUCAAUCCUCUUAAUGACAUGUCUCCAUAUGAUUUGUUUGCUACUACCUUGCAUUGCAUGAUGCCAUCACUUAAGAUUGAUUUGAAAACUCAUUUGCUUGGAUAUGAUGAUAUAUACCCUGUUAGUGGCAGUACUCUCAUUUGUGAUGAUCAUAGUUACUUUCCUCGUGCUAGUCCUAUGCUUAAUUAUAAAUAUCAUCCUUAUGUUAGUAUUGAGCUUGUUGAUUCGUAUCAUACUUGUCAUGUUCUUUAUAGCCAUGCUUAUGUAAUUGGGUACUCUAUUGAUGAUUUAGAGGGCAUUACCCCUUUCACUUGUAUGGUCUCUUUUGUCGAGUGCUCUUUCAGGUUUUUGCUACUGCAUCGUUCACUACAUGCUGACCAGGUUCGAGGUGACAUUCCUUGGGACCCCGGUGGAUUUAGAGCAUGGUGAAGAGGAGAAGCAAUGGGCACAUACAAGGAAGAGAGAAGCUGGAGCAUGCACGAGGAUAGAGAGCAUGAGGAUAGAGAAGCAAAAGCAGGGGAGUCACAAUGCAAGAGAUGUAGUUGGUGAGAUGAUCGAGCGAGUGCUACUUCAUAGUGCCCGGUGAGCUGUUUCAUGACCCAUUCUGAAGUCUGAACAUCAUAAAUACAUGCUGAAUUCAAUUGCUAGUUGGGUUGCUUGAGCCAGUUAUUACUUGUUGUCAAGCUAAAAUUCACCUUUGGCAUCGUGCUUGAUGUGAAUUUGUGAACUUGUUUUCUGAAUGCCUUGUAAACUAGUGAUCUACACCAUGCAUGCUUGGCUGAAAUUAGUGAGAACUAUUAGUUUUGAGUGCUCAAAUCCCUAGUACACCAGAAAACUUCAUCAUUUUCUGCAUUUACUAUGAUACACCUAGAUCACCAUGUUUAGAUGCUGAAUUUGUGUUGAGUGUGUUCCCAUUCAGAGCUAUCACCUAACCACUAUGGACUAGUAUGCUAUGUUCCUUGGAGCGGUAGCAUGUGAACCAGACAUGGAGAAGUGAUGAUUCCUGUUUUUGUGCUUAUAUGUGUUGUUCAUUUAAGAUAAGUAAUAAUGAAUGAAUAAAUAAGUCUAACUAUCUACAGUAGCAUGUCAUGUUCCCUGGAUCGGUGGCAUGUGAAAUCGGGUUAGCUUGGGUAGUAAUUAAUAAUAAAAAAUGUAAUUGUCGAACCAGGUGUAUACCAUGUUCUCUGGAUCGGUGGUAUGUUCCUUUGGGGAGGCAAACAAAAAAACUAAUAAUUGGUCGAGCCGGGUGUAUACCAUGUUCUCAGGAUCGGUGGUAUGUUCCUAUGGUGAGACUAAUAAUAAUAUAAUCAUUGCUUUAUCUCUGUAAAUAAGUGUUUUAAUCACAAGAUUUAAUUCCAGUUCUUUUUGUUCUCGGGAUAAUGCUCUCUUUACGAACCAUUUGGCACAGUCAUCAUUUAAACUUGUUGAUCCUCUUUUAUCAUUGUAAAAGUUUAAAAUGGUCAUGCUUACUAGUAUCCUACUACUUUGUAGAACUCUUAACCAUUGAUUUUCACUAGCAAAGUUCAAAGCAUGCAUUGUUUGGAGAUCUACUUCACUGGGACAUUCUCUAGUCAGUUCGCUGUUCACUACCUUGCUCUUGUCAAAUGCCGUUACUUGAGGACAAGUAAAGAUUUAAGUGUGGGGGAACUUGAUAAGUACAUUUCCUAUUCAUAUUUUGGCACACAAACACACCAUUUAUUGUGAUCCGACGAUCCAUUCUUGCCGUGAACUAUGAUAUAUUUGAAUGAAAAUCAUUUAAAAGACCAUUUACUCGUCAUUUGAUUAUUUUGCAGAAAAGUGCGCAAAGGCACUAUAAACUUCAAGAUUCGGACAAGUUGGCUAUUGAGAAGAGAGAAGGGCGGGAAAGAAGUGAAGAAAGGGAGUUGAGCGAGAAGAAUUGAAGUAAUCAAGGGGUCAAGCUAUAGAUGGCAGGACCAACUUCGGAAGAAAGAAGAGAAGUAGCAGGGCCAAAUCGUAAAGUGGCAGAUCAUAGGAGGGGAUCAAAAUCCCUAGCGCAGCCUCAAUUCCCCUCCGGCCUGGCAUCUCAUCUCUCUCCCUCACCCUUCCUUCUCCACCUCCGGCCGUCGCCACGGCUAGGCCGGCGUGGUGGUGCGCCUCCGCACCAUCAGCACACCCACCACAGACAUCCACCACUCACCACCAACUUCAUCCACCAGCGCCACCAUCUCAAGCCACCGCCGCACCUCGCGCGCCCGACCAGACAAGGGCGAGCACGAGCGUCUGGUCCUCCGUGUGACCUAUCCCUCUCUGCCGAUCCUCUCUUCCUGAUGCCCCUGCUGCUCCUUCUCUUUGUGCCUCCUUUGCUGAUUCUCUACUCUUAACCUCAAGUUGCUGCUACCACUUCUUCUUCUCUGAACCCAAACUCUAAUGUUCGCUGCUCCUCUUUCUUUGCUGCUGCUUCUUCUUCUCACGCCCCCUGCUGCUUCUCUCCUCAGGUCCCUGCUGCUUUUCUCCUCACGUCCCUGCUGCUGCUCCAUUCCCAAUCUUACUGCUGUUCUCUCUCUCUCUCUCUCUCUCUCUCAAAUUUCUGUAAUCUUCAGAAGUGUUAUAACUAAUACUAUGUAAUGUUCAGUCUUGAUAAGUGUAGUAUCCUGCUGCUUGGCUCAGUUUAGAAUUUAUAAUAUAAAUGCUUAAUUAGUAUGCCCUGAGUAGUUUAUACCUUGUCACUUAGAGAAGUACUUGACCUGUUAUACUUUGUUUAGUGAAAUAGUAAUCUUCAUAUGUGUGUGGUGUCCUGUGAGAUAUACAUAUGUGUGUGUUUGUGAUGUGAUACAUAUAUUCUGGCCUACAACCUUGUUUCUUCCCUCUGUCAUACUUGUUGUUAUUAUACGUAUUCUUGUCUUGCUGAUUUCAUUUUGUUGUUUAAGUAGUAACACCUGUGCUAGUAUUGUAGUUUCUCAAGUAAUGAAAAUACCAAAAAGAUAUUGAGUAAAAUCUGAAUUUCCCUUUGCUGUUUGUCAUUUUCUUUGUGAAUGAUCUUUUGGAACAACCUUGUUAGUUUAGGUUUUAUUUUCAGUUUUCAUCACCCAAUUCUGUGUCACCUAGCUUUAGCCGAGCGUCAUCGCUGAUCAUCUA